AUUGCAGGACUGAUCUGAAGGCCAGAGCCAAGACUCAGGGCAGGGCUGUUGGGAGGCCCCUGACAGGCCUGGGAAGGCCUUGCCUGGUCACAGUGUUUUGUGGGCCUGAGGAUUCAGGACACGUGGUACUUGCUUGACCAUAUAGUUUAUUUUAAUAAUGGAAUUAUAGAGAAUUUCUGUUUUCCCUCUGGGAGGCUGGAGUCUGAGCUGCUGUGGUCUGUCACACAGACACUGCCUCCCUAAGUGACUGACCCUCAAUAAAAACCUUGGACGCCGAAGCUCAGGUGAACUUUCCCAGCUGAACCUUGGACCCGGAGGCUCAGUUCACCGCUCAUGGACACCUAGGCUGAUUCCAUAUCUUUGCUGUUGUGAAUGAACACGGGACUGCAUGUUGCCUUUGUGCUGUCGAGGAUGCCCUGAUGUCUGUUCUCACAUCACAUUGCGCUCCAAGUACCCCGGCUGCAACCAGAGCUCAGCAAACCGGGACCAGAGGGCACAUCCACCCUGCCUGCCCAUGUCAACAGAGUUGUGUGGGAGCCAGCCGGCCCCCAGGAAGACCCCAGAUCUUCCUGCCCCUGACCACAGCUCUGUCCCUGGAAGCAUAUGCUGCAGACACUUGCUCUGCUGCAGAUUUUCUGCACAACCCCUCCUCAUGGGGGAAGGUUUGGUACCUGAAUGAGGCCUCUUUUGACCUCUAUUCCUAUCACUAUUUUUGGUGACCUCAAUAUUUAUGAAGGUAAUAACUUGGUCUUUAAUCCAGACAAUUUUCACCUCC
rnacentral:lncRNA from 1 species